CCUACGGGAGGCAGCAGUGGGGAAUUUUGGACAAUGGGCGAAAGCCUGAUCCAGCCAUACCGCGUGCGGGAAGAAGGCCUUCGGGUUGUAAACCGCUUUUGUCAGGGAAGAAAUGCUUCGGGCUAAUACCCUGGGGUGAUGACGGUACCUGAAGAAUAAGCACCGGCUAACUACGUGCCAGCAGCCGCGGUAAUACGUAGGGUGCAAGCGUUAAUCGGAAUUACUGGGCGUAAAGCGUGCGCAGGCGGUUCUAUAAGACAGAUGUGAAAUCCCCGGGCUCAACCUGGGAACUGCAUUUGUGACUGUAGAGCUAGAGUACGGUAGAGGGGGAUGGAAUUCCGCGUGUAGCAGUGAAAUGCGUAGAUAUGCGGAGGAACACCGAUGGCGAAGGCAAUCCCCUGGACCUGUACUGACGCUCAUGCACGAAAGCGUGGGGAGCAAACAGGAUUAGAUACCCUGGUAGUCCACGCCCUAAACGAUGUCAACUGGUUGUUGGGAGGGUUUCUUCUCAGUAACGAAGCUAACGCGUGAAGUUGACCGCCUGGGGAGUCGGCCGCAAGGUUGAACUUAAUGAAUUGACCGGNNGAGAGNGCGAGACGACGACGAGGGAGAGG
rnacentral:rRNA from 1 species